AGAAUCAACGCUGGCGGCGUGCCUAAACACAUGCAAGUCGGAACGAGAAAGUGGAGCAAUCCAUGAGUAAAGUGGCGCACGGGUGAGUAACACGUGACUAACCUACCCUUGAGUGGGGGAUAACCUAGAGAAAUCUGGGCUAAUACCGCAUAAUACCUUCGGGUCAAAGGAGCAAUUCGCUUAAGGAGGGGGUCGCGGCCGAUUAGUUAGUUGGCGGGGUAAUGGCCCACCAAGACUAUGAUCGGUA
rnacentral:rRNA from 1 species